CCGCCCCGAGCGGGGCGGCCGCUGCAGCCGUUAGCGCGGCCGUUAGCCGUAGCACGCGCUCGCAGCCUGUCGCUUUUCAGGGGUCAGGCAGCGGUCUGUCUCGGGAGUGAGGCAACGCCCGCUGCCGUUGCAGCAGACGGACUAAAAGCCAGCCCGAGGGAUUGGCUUGCUUUCUUCUGAACUCGGGGCCGGAUGGGGAAAACGUGUCUCUCUCUGCCAUCCAGCUCUCCUAAUAAGUGCCGACAUCAGGGCUGAGCAGCCGGCCUGCCCCCUGCCGGGGUAAGCUGGGAAAAGCAUCUCUAGAUCGUGGCAAGAACGCGUGUGUCGCAUUUAACGACCUCCGCAGCACUGAGGAAGGAAGCAAACCUGUCUUGCACGACAAGAAAUCUGCCUUACGUCUUGUGAAUGACUGGCAUGUGAAUCCGGAAACAAAUCGGUACUAAAUGAGCGACUUAAGGCACGGUUUGCUUUCCCAGCCUCUACCCAGCCAGUUAUUCUGUCACAGAAGGCUAUCAGAAUGGCUAAGCAUGAUUACCCCUUGGUGAAACCACGUUGACUGCCCUGGUAACCUUGUCCUCCAUAUGCUGGCCUCCAGGACAAGCUGUUCCAUCACCUUUCCUUGGACAGAGGCUAUCAAGACCUGGACUAUAGCAAAGAGAUGAGCAUACUGGCUUAAAGGAUGACACUGAUAAGACUUAAAAGGAGUGUAAUAUAGUGGUUUAGAAAGAAUCAUGUCAUCCUAAAUAAGGAGAGAGCAGUACAGCACUUGUAUUGAGUCUGAGGAAAGGAAAAUGGACAGAAGCCUGGGUGCAAGAAGCAUAGGAGUUCCCAUUAGCUGUCUCUUAUCAAGUAAAAGAAGCAGCCAGGAAAAUCUUUGAAAAAAUGCACAGUCAGAGAAAUGUGGCUCCAAGGUAUGCUGAGCGUUCAUCUAACCCAGCUGCCUUCCCAGACACAGGAUCUUUUCAAAGCAUUGUGCUGCAUACAUUGGUGUUUAAAUCCACAACUGAAAAUUAUUAUAUCGACCUAUCCGAAAACAGAAUAACAUCAGUUUCCUCUACCUGCAGGUCAUUUCCAACCUGUCCUAGACUGAUGAGGCAGGCUUUAAAUUCAUCAGAAUGUAGAUUGUCAGAUUCAUCCUAGCAUCCCAUAACAGGUCAUGCAUUUGGAAGGUAAAAGGAAAGAAGGAAAAAAUCACAGACCAGGUUAGUUGGUUAGUAAAGAACUUUCUAUACUUUUAUUAAUAAACAGAUGUUUAUAGAACUUAAUGGAAAUGUAAUGUUAACUUAUUGCAAUGAAUUACCUAAAAUGGGUAAAACUUCUGUAGUUUCAUGCUUUAGUUUUCUUCUUAGUGGAAGAGGAUCUUGACUUCAAUUACAAUGUUAAAAUUGUGCUUCCUCUACAGGUACUUUUUAAACAUUUUUGCUUAUGAGGCAGUUUUUUUCUGCUGAACUACCAUUUGCUCCUUUAAUUUUCUAUUGCCAUACAGUGUCAUACAAAACAUGUCCUAUCUGUGUUAACAUACACAAUGAAAGAGAUGUUCCUAAGCUGAAAAAAUACAACCCUUACUGAUUUCACAGACUGACUGCUAUGUAUAAGAGGAUGGGUUCGCUUGGUGGAUGAAUAACUUACUUUUGAAUAUUUUCAUGUAGUUAUGCAUAACUAAAAUCCUAGGAGUUUUAACAAAUGCACUAUUUACCAAAUUAACUGGAUUAAGAGGUGUUUUAUCAAGUUCAUGAUGCCGCGCAUUUUGGACGUAUUGUGUUGCUCCUAUACUGACUCCCUCUGCAUCAGCCUCCACCAGCUCCAUGAAGGAAAGAUGAAGAACAAUGAGAGAAAAAGCAAAGCUACAAAUUUGGAGCUGCAUUUAGUUGAAAGCCAAAACCACAACCUUUAAAUCUCUAUUUUACGGGAUAAUUCCUGCUGUAAAGCAUUCAAAAUGGUUUAUUUUAUCAUUCACUGAAAAUGUUAAUGUAGGUUGACUCAAAACUAUCAAAAACCAUUCUGAGGGCAAGCUAUGGGGGCAAGACACAGUAGAAGCAAAGUCAGCUCAUUUUAUCUUAUUUCUAAAGCCAAAGGAAUUUCUGUGUGACUACAAACAAUGUGAUUUCAAAACUGGAGCUAAGAUCCAAAUCCUGUCCCUCCUCCUCCUCUACAGGAUUUGGUAGGAAAAUAUUAGCUAUUCAAGUGCACUAGGGGAGUGGGGGUGGUCAGUAUGUGUGUCAAUUGUAGUCAUCCAACAGGCAGUGGAGGAGAGCUGAUCGUGAAAGGGAGGCUAGCAUAUCUACCAAAGCAACCAGAAGAGAAGUCAAUGUUGUGCUUGAGCUCCCAGCCAGCAUUUGGCUUUGGGAUUCCCCAGGAGAGAGCUCAAGUAGUCCUGCGAUGUGCUAUAGGAGGCUUUCACAUUCCUGUAAUGAUUUUUAAAAAUCUUUGUCAUCUUCAGUAUAAAAAAAUAACAUCUUUGCCUUUGCCAUAUAUCAGCUGCAUGGGAUACAGUGAUAUUUUGCAAUUAAUCAUGGAUCAAAUCCAUGUAAUGAAUUGCUCAUUGGGAAAUGAUUCUUUGCAUUGUAUACAAACCAACAUAAAGCACUGAAAUUAUUUUUCUAAAGCAUUUAAAUAAUUGACUCAUUUAUCUUUUCUUGUCAAUACAAACUAAAACACUGAAAUCUCACCUUGUUUCAUUAUUAGUCCCCAGAGAACUUUUCCUUCUCCUGUAUGAAUUAUAUGUGGCCUUAUAUAAAAAAGUGGGAUUUUAAGUGAAAGUAAUAUAUCUUCCAAUAUGUGCUUCACUUUCACGAAUAUUAAUUGACCUGCAUAAGCUUGAUCAUGUGGUUCUUUUAAUGGGAAGCUGUUGUUUUUCUGUUAGUAAAAUAAAGGGUGGCAGGUUCUGCAUGCAGAACUCCUACUUAAAAUCUGUAGUUUGCACAAAAAUCAAUAGUACAGUACAUCAACAGAUAUUGCAUGCAAAGCAGGUUUUAUGCAGGCGUUUUAUCUCAUCUUACUUAGAAUGCACUAAACAUCCUGAAUCUGAAAAAGGAUUCUACAUUAAAAGACUUGAAAAAUCAGUGACUGACAACAUAACUAUUUCAAUGUCCCAAUUUGUCUGCAUACCAUUAUUCAGCUACGCACCAUUUUGAACACUUCUAAACUGCUGUGAUUUAGACAUAGUGUUCCACUUUCUUUUUUCCUCUAUGCAAACACAUUAAGAGAAGAGAAAAAAUAUACCAGCAUCGCUAAAGAUUUAUAUUUACACCUACAACUAGACUGUGCCCUUAAGCAUAGCCUCCAGCAAGGAGUUACCUUGCAGCAACAUCCUCAGGAAUAACUUCUGGGGCAUCAGCCUGCAAUUAUGUCUGUUGGAAAGAAAAGAUCUUGGAGGGCUGCCCCCUUGCCUCGAGGGAGAUAGUGUUCUUAAGAACUUGCCUUUGACAAGAUCACUUGUAAUGGUUUUUAUGCUAGCAUAGCUGUGCUGGUGGAUAUACUGAAGGAAACGCAAGCUCCUUCUGCCCUUAUAUAUUCUUCCAUGCAUGGUGUCCCCUUACUCAGUGUAAUUUAGGAGUCAGGGGCAUGUAGCCCCAAACAAAAUGUUGCAAAAUACCAAAGAGCUUUCUUUUAAAUAUUCAAGAUGUAGAAGCCAUUUAAAACAAUAACUUAGCUGUCUUUCAAAGAGCUAACUACAGAAUUAAGCCCCAUGAUUUAUUAUAAACUAAAAAAACAUACAUACAUGUUAUUUGCUUUCUUUCCUGGAGAGGAAGAAAGGGGUUCCUUCCUCAGAUUUAUAACCAAAGCAAGUUGUCUUUAGAAGUACUCUAUAGAAAAUUGUUAGGUUUACGUGUACUAAAAUAGAUUCUUUAAAAUGGAGAAGAGAGCUACUCUGCACAUUAGUAUUUUGCUGACAUCCUCAACACACAUUAAGAGUCAAACAUUAAGAUGUUUCUUAAACUGGAGAAAUGCCGCCAUACAAGUCAGAGCUAUAGCAUGCAUAAAAUGACUCUGUUUUGCUUAUGUGUUUAAAGCCUCCUGGUCAAGGACAGCAUUAGUUUUUAAAACCUUUUCUGGCUAUUCAUCAUUAUGAAUUGCAGUCUGAUGCUUUCGGUCUAUUUUUUAAACUAUGUCAGGUAUACAGAAAUGCUCCUACAAGCAACAGAAUUAUUACAUAUACUGCUAAAUGAUUGAUUUUUUUUGUCUUACAUGGAGAAGUCAGUACUUUCAUGUUAGUGCUUAUGUUCAUCUUCAUUUCUUUGAGGUGAUCAAGACCAAAAAUAACCCAUUCCUGCCCUCUCUAUCUAAUUUCCAAGUUUAGAGUCUUCAUUAUUUUGCGUACCCAGAAGUAUCCCUGAAGCAUCCCAGGUUUCCUUCAUUCACUGGCAAUAAAUUUUCAAGUGUACAAUGGAACAAGGAAAAUACAAAAAUGAAAAACAAGCCUGCUCCCCUCAGACACCUUUGCUCAAUGUCUCCUCUAGCCUGUGUAGAUCAAGUCAUAUCUUUAAAUUACAGUGCAAUUUAAUCAGUAUAAGCUUUUCUUUUAACAGUGUUUCUGUGGUCUGUCCUUUAAAGAAAGCCUGGCUUGAAGGCUGUGAUUUUAUAUCUAUUUUUUUUUUUCCCUUUCUUGAACUUACAUUAUGCUUCUAAGAAUGUAGUUGCUCUACUGUGACGGCACAGAAGUCCUCCUGGAUGAAUUUCCAAUCUCUGAAGGGAGGAACAUACUAAAUGGAACAUAUGCAAAGUUGUCCUUCUCUUCAUGUGAACCUUCCGGACCUAUUUUUAAGGACUUUGGAUUACAUCUGACAUGAGGGCAGGUACGGUGUGCAGCUAAACUUGCAGUUCGGGCCCAGGUUGUUGAGAUCAUAAAACAUACUGGAGAAUCUGUCUCCUUGCACUUCUGACUCAUCUGUUCAGGCUUCUUGUGACAGAAGCAAGGGCCGAGGGGACACUGCAUGAAGCUAUGUCUCCUCUUAUAAUGAGGACAAGGAGGUAGAUGUGGGUAGGCAGGAAUCUAAGAGCUGAGAAGUACUUCUGUAUUGUACUUUAUUGUCAUGGCCCAUCUCCAACCUGACUGUUGCUCUGUAACAUAAGCACCUUCUCUGAGGCAAUACAGCCCUUCCUAAGACUUUCCUCUAUUGUACCCUUUGGUAUCUCAAAGUCUUUCUAUUUCUGCAAAGCAUGAAGAUGCCUAAUAGGGCUGGUUGCUGAAGGAGUUAGCAUCUUCCUUCAGGACCUUCUGAGGUCCUUGGAUGCCAAGAGUAGCUCCUCAGUGACUGAACUAGCCUUGCUGCCAGCAUGGCAGAGAAUUUAUCUAUUAACUACAAAGAUACAGGGAUGCUAAAAAUGGCUAUCUAGUAUAACAUAUUUCAGGAUUUAGUCACCUUCCUUCCUUAUCUUUAGGAAGCUGUCAAAUCUUCAUGCAAAGCUUCCCUUAAUAGGGUAUCUUAAAUACUAAUGUGUAAUUUAUCCAGACCUGGUACUCUGUCUGCUUUUAAUAGCUCUAAUUUCUCAGUCAUCUGCUCCAGUGCACUGGGGAAACCAUUCAAUAAACUACUUCCUGCUACCUCAAGAAAGCUAUUUCUGCUUCUGUAACGGUAUCUUCUGCUUCCUCAGCCAAUACAAAAAAAAAUUAUCCUGCACUAGAAUCACAUUAAGAUUUUCCAUAAGAUCUAUCCCUGAUUCCUGUGUGGCUCGCCUUUUCUAUACUUGUGUGUUUCAUCAAAAAACAGAGUCAUGAGAAUUCUGCUUUUCUUCCUAAACACUUAAGAAUAUUCUAAAAAAAUACUUAGCAAAUGAUGACUGUCAAUGUCCAACACACAUCAAGUACAGGUAUGGGUAACCAUUUUGGAUAGAGCUGGACAAGCAAGAUAUUAGUGAAAAGAAAGUGGCAUUUUACUACACCCUGAAAUAAUUUGAAGGAGCUGAUUCGUGGUAACAAUGCAAGUUAGGGGUUAAGCACAGCCUGGUAACUACAGGAAUCUAUACUGAAACAAAGACAGCAGCCCAGUGCUGGAUUAUGGUAAUCUUUUUUCAGCAUCUGAAAUGUGAACUCAGUUUUGAAGGUGGUGUUCUAACUCAUGUAAAGAUGGUUCUCCAGCUGGGAAUAUCAGAUCCAUUCUUUUGCUACUGUUUCCAAAACUAGAUUUAUUUUUAAUACUCUAUACAUGAGUACCGUAUAAAUCACAGAAUGAUUAAGUUAAGUUUCUUCAUAAAAGUGUUUUAAUUUCUAUUUUCUUAUUCAUCUCUUAUUAGAUAAAUGAAACAUAUAGACUCUCAUUUCCCACUUACAGACAGGAAAAUAAAGGAUUUUCCUAGGCAACUAUCAGUACCCUAGCUACAUUCCCCACAAAUCUACUUCUAGAGCAACAACUUGUGAUUCAGAGAAGUAAACAAAAAUAUUGUAAACAAGAUUACAGCUAAAUUUAAUGAAGUGGAAACCAUGCUGCACUGCCUUAAAGCAAAGGGGUGCAUUAUUUUCAAAAAAAAAAAGAUUAUCCAAUCCUGUCUGUUACUUGAACAAGUGCUCAACAAUACUAGCAGAACUGUAAUUUGCAUUACAUUUAGAGAGAUUAUGCGUACAACGCUAUGAUUUCAUAAGGCUGUAAAUACUUUGUUAAUUGAUCUUUAUUACCAUUUUAAAAAUA